GGCCCGUUGGUCAAGAGGUUAAGACACCGCCCUUUCACGGCAGUAACGGGAGUUCGAUUCUCCCACGGGUCACCA
rnacentral:tRNA from 1 species